UACAGAGGUCCCAAGCGUUGUUCGGAUUCAUUGGGCGUAAAGGGCUCGUAGGCGGCCAACUAAGUCGGAUGUGAAAUCCCCAGGCUCAACCUGGGAACUGCAUCCGAUACUGGAUGGCUUGAAUUCGGGAGAGGGAUGCAGAAUUCCAGGUGUAGCGGUGAAAUGCGUAGAUAUCUGGAGGAAUACCGGUGGCGAAGGCGGCAUCCUGGACCGACAUUGACGCUGAUGAGCGAAAGCUAGGGGAGCAAACGGG
rnacentral:rRNA from 1 species